UACGUAGGGGGCAAGCGUUGUCCGGAUUUAUUGGGCGUAAAGAGCGUGUAGGCGGCCGUACAGGUCAGCUGUGAAAACUCGAGGCUCAACCUCGAGACGUCGGUUGAAACCGUACGGCUAGAGUCCGGAAGAAGAGAGUGGAAUUCCCGGUGUAGCGGUGAAAUGCGCAGAUAUCGGGAAGAACACCCGUGGCGAAGGCGGCUCUCUGGGACGGUACUGACGCUGAGACGCGAAAGCGUGGGGAGCGAACAGG
rnacentral:rRNA from 1 species